rnacentral:lncRNA from 1 species
AGGAUUAAAUUAAUUAUUGUUCAGAGCACCUGAUGUUUAGCCUUUAAAUUUGACCCAGAGGCUACUCAACUUUCUUUUCCCCCCCAAAAAGUCUGUCAGUUUUGAUCUAAAUUUGUAUUUCCAAACUGGAAUUAUGAUGAACUAAAUUAGGGUUGCCAGUUGUUGGUUUAAAGUGCAUAAUUUAUCUUCAUGGUUUUAAGUUUUGAUCAAGAGAUUGUAAAUUAACUUUAAAAACCACUUGUCGGUUAUUAGUUUCAGGUUUGGAAUCAGGUAGGCGAAGCAUUUUUAGGUCGACCAGGGAACGUUAAUCUACAUACAGGAACUGUCUAGAGUGGUAGGUGAAGCUGAAUCUUUAUCUUAAACAUUGACAAAGUGAAGUGGCACUCCACUGUAACCUGAGAACAUCUAGGCUAGCCUAGGGACCACAAAUGCAAAUUAUUUAUUGAUCAAAAUCCUCUUGCAGAGUUGAUGCUGCCAAAAAGGGCAGUGGCCACUCAAAGUGACACUGGCUGCUAACUAAAUAGUCACUGCUUACAUUGUGUGUGUAGUGCGCACCCAUGAAUCCAAGCAGUGGAUAUUAAUUUGCUACUACAUGUUAUGCCAUUGUCCUUCCUCCAGGAUUUGAUUUAAUUAAUGUAAUUUACUACACAGGAUUUGAUUUAAUUAAUGUAAUUUACACCUUUCUCCUAAUUCAAAGAUCCAAUAUGGGGGGAGGCAACAGCUACAAAAACAACAAAACACGGGUACAUAAAUUAAAGUGUUGAAAUGCAAUUAAACAUAUUAUGGCCAGCAUCCCAUUGGUGAAUUAUAUAUAAAUAUAAAAAAUAACAUAAUUAGCAGCACUAAAUUGCUGCUAAUUAAUAAGAAGGCAGCUGUAUUCUAGUCCACUUUGCCAAAGGUGAUAUCUGAAACCUACGUUCUCUGAGUGAAUUCUGCAGCCUCCAUCGGAACUUGCUUUGAACAAGGGAUCUGGCCCACACAUUUAGCCAUGGAUUUGGAAACUUGCAUGUUCUUUCUUUACCACCCUUCACUCUGUAAUGCCCAGCCUGAUGAAAACCUGUGCAAAAUCAAAAGCUAGCCUCUGUAUAUGAGAGAUUUUAUUGACUGAAUAAAUUUUUUACCAUCUUAGUUUUUAAGAUGCCA